CAAUGGCGUAUAUUAAAGUUGUUGCGGUAAAAAAGCUCGUAGUUGGAUUUCUACCGAAGAUAGCCGGUCGGGUCUUCGACCUUGUAUCUGGUUUUGUCUUUGGUAUCCUCAUAGGGAACGUUUCUGCGCUUUAUUGCGUGGUGCGGUAUCUAUGACUUUUACUUUGAGGAAAUUAGAGUGUUCACGGCAGGCAAACGCCUUGAAUAUAUUAGCAUGGAAUAAUAACAUAGGAUCUUCGUCCUAUUUUGUUGGUUUCUAGGGCUAAGAUAAUGAUUAAUAGGGAUAAUUGGGGGCAUCUGUAUCAACGCGUCAGAGGUGGAAUUCUUGGAUUGCGUUGCGACAAACUACUGCGAAAGCAUUUGCCAAGGAUGUUUUCAUUGA
rnacentral:rRNA from 1 species